rnacentral:ncRNA from 2 species
AAAGGAAGCCGGUUCAAGUCCGGCGCUGCCCCGCAACUGUAAGCGGAACGAAAUCCACAUUAUCCACUGGCGCUUUAAGCGUUGGGAAGGGUGGAAAGUAGGUCGCCGCAAGCCAGGAAACUU